GCCACUGCACUGCCUCUCCCUUGCAGAAGAGGUAUUCAGAUGCUGAGUCAGAAUAAUUUAGCAGCUCCUCUGAGAAACCAGAGCUGUUCAAAGAAAUGUUAUCAGGAGUGAGGAUCUCAUCUGAUGUUUUCCCACCUCUUCAUAGAUUUUUUUUUCUUCAAGCUAGCUCAUAUUCUACCUGAUGUGCUGAAGUUCCUUGCUGCAAAUUCAAUUUGCCUUCAAAUAUUUGGCACUGCUUCAAGGAAAAUGAUCAAAUGAUCCAGUUCACCUUGAUCCCUUAAUUUUGAAAUUGCUUGGCUUGCUCUUUCUCCCACCGUGUUGGGUCAAGAUUUUCUUCCCAGGCUGUGAGAAAUGGCACCUUCAGGAGAAGCCCUUCUGUCACUGACAUCUUACCUAGCAGGAAUCUAAGGAAAGCAGAAUGGCCUGAUGGCUUUCUUUUCCUUCAUGUCACUACGAGAAAGAGCAUAUGGGGCUUGGAGUGCUAAUUAUGGAUCUAGAAUUGUAUAGAGAAAUUGUGCCCUCAGCCCUGGACUCCACUGUGUGGAUUAACUCUACCAGCCACUGGCACUGAAGGUAAAGCCCUGCACUUUGAGUGUCCUCGGUUUGAACUAAAGAGCCAAGACCUGUCAGCAGACAGCUCAUAUCUAAUGCAGAUCAAGCAUAAAAGAAGAUUAAAACUGCUAUUGCCAAAGGAUACAUGCUUAUAUUACUACAGCCAGGGAUCUGCAUGGAUAUUGUCAUUUCUCCACAACAAAUGAUUUCUCUUGUUUAUCUGUUUCUCACUGCCAUGAUGCAUUGCUCAAAGGUGAGGUAUUGUUUCUUCACAGCAAAGGCAAACCUCACUUGCCAGAUUUAAUUCUGAUCAUCCUUGAUAUGUGAUUUUGUAACUCAUAUUGUCAUACUGUAAAUCACCAUCUCACUAAGACAAUAUUUCUGUGUAAAAUAUUUUCUUUCCAUUACAAGUGCUCUUUCUCUUUAGUAUGUUUGGCUCUGACUUCCUUUGUAGAGGACAUAUGUUUUUUCUGCUGACUACAGAAAAACGUAGUAUUAAAAAGGAGUCUAAUGAAAGUAACAUGGUGUUUCACCGAACUAAAUUUAGGCAAUACAAAUGUUGUACAAUAACUGUUCUUAUCUCCUAGCAAUAAUGAUUACUUUUCCACAUGCAGAAAAUUUUAACAAACCUUUUUCUUUUUAUAGAAAGGGAAAGAAAGUCAAAUACACUUGCAGGAGUCCUUAUCAUUAAGGCAAAAGGAGAAAUAGAGCAUCUACCAGAAAGUAUGGACCCUACUGGAGUAGGACAACAGGAAAUUUUUCUCACCUAUUUCUAGAUUCCUCAGCAAAGAUGAAACAUUCACUUUCAUUCAAGAUAUUAAAUAACAUGAAACAAUUAGUUUUAUUUCCUGAUAAAAUUGAAUCCUCCCUAAAUGUAUUUAGUGCAAGAUUCUACAAUAUUUGGAUGACACUUAAGAGUAUAAAUGUCUUUUUACAAAUAAGAUGGUUGGGUUGAUAGGUUUAGUUUUAUUUUGUUUGUGUUGUGAUUUGAAUUCACUAGAAUAGGAAUUUACUUCUCCUUCUUUAUAAGUUUUGCAACAAAUAUUCAUGACCAUGCAUAGCUUACAAGAGAAAUAAUUUAAUGCAGUCUAAAAGUAAUGUCAUUAAUUAAAAAAUGAGUUUUCAUAUUUGAAAAAAAGAGCCUUCCUUCCUUCCUUCCUUCCUUCCUUCCUUCCUUCCUUCCUUCCUUCCUUCCUGGCACUGAUUUUUCAAUAAAAUUGUGUUUUGAAAGAUGGGAUAAAACCACAUGCUAAACUAGAAUUAAAAUCCUUUCCAUGCAUUUUUCUCAUAAUUUUUAAAAAUAACAUUAUAUUGCAUUUUAUUUUCACUUAACUGAGGGUAUUUUUGUGGAUGAGCUGUGCUGCCAGAUGAGAUAUUUCCAAAAGUACUUUGCUGACAGAUAAUUGACUAUUUGACCACCGGUCUACAUUGCUGUAGAGCUAAUUGCCAAGAAAGAGCAGAGUAAUAGAGGUCAUCUGUGAACGUAAUGAAAAGUCUCAUAGGAAUCACACUGCUCAUACAAUGUCAGUGAUGGUGUCAGCUUUGCUGUGAUUUUCUACCAAGCUUGCAGAGUUCUGAUUCCUAGUGUAUGACUCCUUCUUAUGUUCUCUAGCUCAAGUCAGAAUCAAUCUUCACUAUUGUUGCGACUGGUAAAUCAAUUAUCAAGAAUGAAAGGCUGUGUGGGGGGGGGAAGGAGGCUUAAGAAAUCAGGGGCAAGCUGAAAGACAUCAGUCUCUGCUUUUGAUUCAUUCCAUCCUCUGCUCCUUAAGUAACCAUUGCCACUUGGAAACAUUUAAUUUCUCCUCUCCAUCUCACUGGGGAUGGAGGGGUAUGUUGCGGGAGAAGAGAGGAGUGAGCGACACACUGUUUGGAGUGCUUCAGAAAAAACAUUAAAUUAGGAAUAUGAUUCCUAAACUACAACAAUCUCCAAGAAUUGGGAUUGAUUCAGAGGAGUUAAUAUUCAAAUGAACCCAGUACAUCACUACCCAGUCCUGGUGAAGUGAUGUCUGGGAUGCUGUGUCUAAUUCUGGAUACUCCAGACACUCCUACAGGAAAGAAAUGGAUGGCUGGACUGAGUGUGGUGAAGUGUAACAAAGACAGCAGUGGACUGGUGUUCCUGACAUGCAG